rnacentral:lncRNA from 1 species
UUUAUUUGAAAAGAAAUUAAGAAAACCUUUGAAAGUUACUUAAAUGAUCCAAAACAAAAAAAAUUAUUUAAGUUUGAAGAUUCUGAGUAAGCGGUUCCUAUUAAUACUCUUGGAAGGUUGUUAAGGCACCAAGAGUAUAUGCUAACUUGCGGUUAUCCGGACUGUUUGAAAAUAUCUUUUGACUAACUUUCAAAAGAAAGAUUGAUUAUUGAAAAAUAAUUGAUUUUAG